CUCAACCCGCCUCCUGGUGGGUGUACUCUUCUGCGGUCAGGCCAGCAUCAGUUCGAGCGGUCGGAUAAAGGCGCCGGGAAUGUAGCUCCUCUCGGGGAGUGUUAUAGCCCGGCGUGGAAUGCGACCUGCUCGGACUGAGGAUCUCGCUUCGGCUAGGAUGCUGGCGUAAUGGUUGUAAGCGGCCCGUCUUGAAACACGGACCAAGGAGUCUAACAUCUAUGCGAGUGUUUGGGUGUCAAACCCAUGCGCGUAAUGAAAGUGAACGGAGGUGGGAACCCGCAAGGGCGCACCAUCGACCGAUCCUGAUGUCUUCGGAUGGAUUUGAGUAUGAGCAUAGCUGUUGGGACCCGAAAGAUGGUGAACUAUGCCUGAAUAGGGUGAAGUCAGAGGAAACUCUGAUGGAGGCUCCAGCGGUUCUGACGUGCAAAUCGAUCGUCAAAUUUGGGUAUA
rnacentral:rRNA from 1 species